AUUGAACGCUGGCGGCAUGCCUAACACAUGCAAGUCGAGCGAGCGGCGGACGGGUGAGUAAUGUAUGGGAACGUGCCUGAUGGCGGGGGAUAACUACUGGAAAGCGUAGCUAAUACCGCAUACCAUCAGAUGUGCCCAGAUGGGAUUAGCUAGUUGGUGGGGUAACGGCCCACCCAGGCGACGAUCCCUAGCUGGUUUGAGAGGACGACCAGCCACACUGGAACUGAGACACGGUCCAGACUCCUACGGGAGGCAGCAGUGGGGAAUUUUGGACAAUGGGGGAAAGCCUGAUGCAGCCAUGCCGCGUGUGUGAUGAAGGCCUUCGGGUUGUAAAGCACUUUCAGCGGGGAGGCGGUACCCGCAGAAGAAGCACCGGCUAACUCCGUGCCAGCAGCCGCGGUAAUAC
rnacentral:rRNA from 1 species